rnacentral:rRNA from 1 species
CAUAUCAGUAGGCGGAGGAAAAGAAACCCAACAGGGAUUGCCCUAGUAACGGCGAGUGAAGCGGCAACAGCUCAAAUUUGAAAUCUGGCUCUUUCAGGGUCCGAGUUGUAAUUUGCAGAGGGCGCUUUGGCGUUGGCAGCGGUCCAAGUUCUUUGGAACAGGACGUCACAGAGGGUGAGAAUCCCGUACGUGGUCGCUAGCCUUCGCUGUGUAAAGCCCCUUCGACGAGUCGAGUUGUUUGGGAAUGCAGCUCUAAAUGGGAGGUAAAUUUCUUCUAAAGCUAAAUACUGGCCAGAGACCGAUAGCGCACAAGUAGAGUGAUCGAAAGAUGAAAAGCACUUUGGAAAGAGAGUCAAAUAGCACGUGAAAUUGUUGAAAGGGAAGCGCUUGCAGCCAGACUUGCCUGUAGUUGCUUAUCCGGACUUUUGUCCGGUGCACUCUUCUGCGGGCAGGCCAGCAUCAGUUUAGGCGGUUGGAUAAAGGUCUCUGUCAUGUACCUCUCUUCGGGGAGGCCUUAUAGGGGAGACGACAUGCAACCAGCCUGGACUGAGGUCCGCGCAUCUGCUAGGAUGCUGGCGUAAUGGCUGUAAGCGGCCCGUCUUGAAACACGGACCAAGGAGUCUAACAUCUAUGCGAGUGUUUGGGUGUCAAGCCCAGACGCGUAAUGAAAGUGAACGGAGGUGGGAACCCUUUUGGGUGCACCAUCGACCGAUCCUGAUGUCUUCGGAUGGAUUUGAGUAAGAGCAUGGCUGUUGGGACCCGAAAGAUGGUGAACUAUGCUUGAAUAGGGUGAAGCCAGAGGAAACUCUGGUGGAGGCUCGCAGCGGUUCUGACGUGCAAAUCGAUCGUCA